rnacentral:lncRNA from 1 species
GGUAUAGGGAACUUUCAUGAUAGCAUUUUAAAUGUAAAUAAAGAUAAUAUCUAAUAAAAUAAAUGUAAAUGUAAAACAUGUUAAUUUAUGUCAAGAACAUUACAGAAGUCAUACUUGAGUGAGUGUUUCUUCCCUAAAAUAUCUAUAUGAAAAGGGAUUUUGGAUUAUGGUGUAAAAUAAAGUUAUAGGAUGUUGUGAUAUGAUUUUUACAAAUUGAAUUUCAAUUUGAUACUAUAAUCCACAAAUAAAAGUUUUAUCCAUAAAAUGAAAACUACUCUACAGUACUAAAUACCUAAUGCAAUGUAUAGUACAAAGCUAAUUUUCCUAUGAAUUUGAUCAUUUUUGCAAUAUUUCAUCAGGUCCUGUCUCUUAUCUUUAAUAUUAAUGUUAUUUAAGACUUGCAGCUUGUUUAAAAUUAUUAAGGAAAUAUAGAUAUUUUGUCUUGAUUACUAAUGAGAACUUGACUAUGUCUUAAGACAUUGGCUUUAUUUCAUCAUAACAUCUUCAUAAACUGUCAAAAAGAUUUGGUUCUCAUCAAAAGUCCAGGUAUUAUGAAUUGUCUCCAUAAUACCAGUUUGUAUGACCUUCAUAUCUUAGCUUUCCAGUCACACUGUGGAAAAGGAUAUUAAUUGUAGGAUUUUUAAAAUAUUGUUAAUACUGGAAAAUAUUAAAAUGACUGACUCUUUUUUGUUGUUGUUGAUUUUACCUCAGACAAUACAUCCUGACAAGAGGAGGGAGGGGAAACUAUAAUAACUCCUUUUAAAGAUAAGGCAUCUUCUUCAGAUUUCAGGAAGUUUCCCAAGGGGGCAGAAGAAAGAUGGUCUUUUUUUCUGUCUCUGUAUAAAUACAGUAUUUUACCACAUUAGGCAGAAGAAAUAUGCCAGUUUUAGUUUUACUUAUUAUGCACCAUCUCAAGUGAAGGAUCCAAUAUAAAUCUGAGGGAGGUUAAGUGGUAAAUAGAACAACUGUAGAAAAUUAUACUCAGUGGGAAUAAGUGUGAAGAAAAAUAAAUUACAC